UGAAACAAGAACAUCUUCAUGGUGAGGCUGUUCUCAUAAUCGGUCUGCGUCCUCGGGAGUUCUGCGGGGGAACGGCGACAAGGAAUUCGCUGAAAUCGCAACAGCUUUGAGACCCCAGCCAAACACUCUGAUGCCCAAGAAUUGUAAGAUCUGCUGGAAACCACGGGACAGAAGCAGUUGGUUGCAGGCAUUCGGGAAGCACAAAGGUUGCCAAUUGGUCCUGCAGAGCCUGGUGGGAAGCCUGAAGCUAGGAGGAAAGGCUGGGAUGGAGGAGAAGAACAUGAACUCAACACCAUCCAAGUGUGAAGACCAAUGAAAUGCCCAAGAACCCACCCCCAGCCUUGCUAGUGCUGACUACUUCCUCAACAGUCAGUUGGGGCAGAAACGGCCUGGGGGUUGGAAUCAUUUCCUGUAGAGGGCAGGAUGCUGGCUCCACUGAGCAGCAUUCAGGCCCUCAGUGUCCUUGAUCUAGCCCAAGGGGAGAUGAGGUCACUGGGUAAAAUCCUUCAGGGCACUAGGCAGCUGUGUGGAGCAAGCUCUGACUGCCGGUCUUGCAACCCCCAGGAGCUCUGCUAGCUUCAUGUGGCAGACACUUCCUGAGACCUGGCUGGAGAGUUUGCCCUCUUAGGCUGACCUCAGGGCUAACGUCCCUCGGUGACACCCACACAGCCCACCACGCAGAAGGCCUACUUCAGUUACUCCAGUUCUUCCAAGAACGCCCCACCCCUGAAGUUCCCUCUGCUCUGAAUCGUAACCGUGACAUCAUUCUGGUAAAGUGUACACUCUCUUACAGACAGCGCUGGACCUCCCCUGUCAACGCAUGUAGCACGCAUGUGAGUAAGCCUGACCUACAUGUGCGUCUAGGCUUACUGUCUGCCCGCCCACAAUGGCACUGCUGUGAGGACAGGGGCGUUUUGUUCGCGGGUUGACAAUUGUGACUUAGUGGACUUGACAAACUAAUGCACUGAGUGGAUAAACUGAAGGAAACAUGACAGAAUCUGCGUGUCCCCAACUCCGGCUUGAGGAAGCAGUCUUCUCCGAGUUCCCAGUUAACACCUCCUCGCCUGUUUGAUCGGUACCCCCGCCACUCUCUAUUAUGCCAGUUGACCUGGGUCAAUGCUUUGUUUCAUUGAGUCUCGGUUUUGGUUUUCAAAUUCACUAAAUUCUACCCUCAUUUAAAUUAUUUCUUUCUGCCUACUGAUUCUGGGCUUCUUCCCCCUCCCCCGCAAAGCUCCAAGA